ACUGCUCAGUAACACGUGGAUAAUCUACCCUUAGGUCUGGAAUAACCCCGGGAAACUGGGGAUAAUACCGGAUAGAUCAUAGAUGCUGGAAUGCCCUAUGUUCCAAAGCUCCGGCGCCUAAGGAUGAGUCUGCGGUCUAUCAGGUUGUAGUGGGUGUAACGUACCUACUAGCCGACGACGGAUACGGGUUGUGAGAGCAAGAGCCCGGAGAUGGAUUCUGAGACACGAAUCCAGGCCCUACGGGGUGCAGCAGGCGCGAACACUUCACAAUGCGGGAAACCGCGAUAAGGGAACCCCGAGUGCCAGCACCAAGUGUUGGCUGUCCAGAUGAAUAAAUCUCAUUUGUUAGCAAGGGCCGGGCAAGACCGGUGCCAGCCGCCGCGGUAACACCGGCGGCCCGAGUGGUAACCGUUUUUAUUGGGUCUAAAGGGUCCGUAGCCGGUCUGAUCAGUCUUUUGGGAAAUCUGGCAGCUUAACUGUCAGGCUUCUAAGAGAUACUGUCAGGCUUGGGACCGGGAGAGGUAAGGGGUACUCCAAGGGUAGGAGUGAAAUCUUGUAAUCCUUGGGGGACCAUCUGUGGCGAAGGCGCCUUACCAGAACGGGUCCGACGGUGAGGGACGAAAGCUAGGGGAGCAAACCGGAUUAGAUACCCGGGUAGUCCUAGCUGUAAACGAUGCUCGCUAGGUGUCAGGCACGGUGCGUCCGUGUUUGGUGCCGUAGGGAAGCCGAGAAGCGAGCCACCUGCGAAGUACGGUCGCAAGGCUGAAACUUAAAGGAAUUGGCGGGGGAGCAC
rnacentral:rRNA from 1 species